rnacentral:misc_RNA from 1 species
AAGUCGUAACAAGGUUUCCGUAGGUGAACCUGCGGAAGGAUCAUUAAUAAACGGCGAAGCUCCUAACCGAGCCUAGCUUUAUAUUAUUCCUUACAACACCUGUGAACUAUUUGCCCUUUGGGGUACAAAACAACUACAAACAUAAUUGUAAUGAAUGUAAACAACUAUAAUUAAAUACAACUUUCAACAACGGAUCUCUUGGCUCUC